GGAGAGGUGGCAGAGUGGUCUAACGCACCGCACUUGAAAUGCGGCGUACCCGUAAGGGUACCGUGAGUUCGAAUCUCACCCUCUCCG
rnacentral:tRNA from 9 species